UACGUAGGGGGCAAGCGUUGUCCGGAAUCAUUGGGCGUAAAGAGCGCGUAGGCGGCCCGGUAAGUCCGCUGUGAAAGUCAAAGGCUCAACCUUUGAAUGUCAGCGGAUACUGCCGGGCUAGAGUCCGGAAGAGGCGAGUGGAAUUCCUGGUGUAGCGGUGGAAUGCGCAGAUAUCAGGAGGAACACCGGUGGCGAAGGCGGGUCUCUGGGCCGAUACUGACGCUGAGGAGCGAAAGCGUGGGGAGCGAACAGG
rnacentral:rRNA from 1 species